rnacentral:rRNA from 1 species
UACAGAGGUGGCAAGCGUUGUUCGGAAUUACUGGGCGUAAAGGGCGCGUAGGCGGCCUUCUAAGUCAGACGUGAAAUCCCCCGGCUUAACCUGGGAACUGCGUCUGAUACUGGAGGGCUUGAGUGCGGGAGAGGGAUGUGGAAUUCCAGGUGUAGCGGUGAAAUGCGUAGAUAUCUGGAGGAACACCGGUGGCGAAGGCGGCAUCCUGGACCGACACUGACGCUGAGGCGCGAAAGCUAGGGUAGCAGACGGG